AGACAAUAGAUACCCGGGUAGUCCACGCCCUAAACUAUGGAUACUCGACAUCAGCGAUACACUGUUGGUGUCUGAGCGAAAGCAUUAAGUAUCCCACCUGGGAAGUACGACCGCAAGGUUGAAACUCAAAGGAAUUGACGGGGGUCCGGCACAAGCGGUGGAGCAUGUGGUUUAAUUUCGAUGAUACGCGAGGAACCUUACCUGGGCUAGAAUGCUGGGAGACCGAGGGUGAAAGCUCUCUUUGUAGCAAUACACUGCCAGUAAGGUGCUGCAUGGCUGUCGUCAGCUCGUGCCGUGAGGUGUUGGGUUAAGUCCCGCAACGAGCGCAACCCCGUAUCACUAGUUGCCAUCAGGUAAUGCUGGGAACUCUAGUGAAACUGCCGCCGUAAGGCGUGAGGAAGGAGGGGAUGAUGUCAAGUCAUCAUGGCCUUUAUGCCCAGGGCUACACACGUGCUACAAUGGCGAGUACAAAGGGCAGCUACCGUGGUAAC
rnacentral:rRNA from 1 species